rnacentral:rRNA from 1 species
UACGGGGGGGGCAAGCGUUGUUCGGAAUUACUGGGCGUAAAGGGCUCGUAGGCGGCCAACUAAGUCAGACGUGAAAUCCCUCGGCUUAACCGGGGAACUGCAUCUGAUACUGGAUGGCUUGAGUUCGGGAGAGGGAUGCGGAAUUCCAGGUGUAGCGGUGAAAUGCGUAGAUAUGUGGAGGAACACCGGUGGCGAAGGCGGCAUCCUGGACCGACACUGACGCUGAGGCGCGAAAGCUAGGGGAGCAAACGGG